GCUGAUGUAGCUCAAUUUGGCAGAGCAACUGACUUGUAAUCAGUAGGUUAUGGGUUCAAUUCCCUUCAUCAGCU
rnacentral:tRNA from 1 species